rnacentral:misc_RNA from 1 species
AGGUAAAAAUGCCCAG